AAUGGCAACAUUGUAAUUAAAAAAUAUGCUCCUGCACGUAUAUAUGUCUAUAAAACUUUGUCCUGAUUACGUCAUUGGUUAUUGCCAUUAGAGACCUCUUGAUUUCCUACAAAGUUGAUUCUCAGACUCACUGAAUAGUUCCAGCAAUAUAUUGUUUGCGACGCCAGUUAAAAUGUUUACUGUGGAUUGACGCUUGUAACUCAAGACUUCUUGUUGUUGAUGGUAUUUUACAAAUGUAAUUUUUGAAUGAAGUGAAUGCAAGAAUACUCUUUUUCAUCUCUCUGAAGCACCAUCAGGAAUACUAUAAAGGACAAUGGAAGAAAGAACUUAUCCAAAAAGAACAAACAAACAACAAAGCUGAUAAAGAAAAAAUGAAAGGACAGAAGCAAAUGUUUGACUUUAAAUUCAGCUAUGAUUUAACACACGUUCAGACUUCUGAAUUACUUAUGUCAUGGAAGUAAACUUAAGCCAUACAUACUGUGUAAAUAGCUACAUUUCACAUAAUAGAAAUGAGUAAUGUUCAUUACAGUAAUGCUCACUACAAAAUAUUGGCAACUCUAGUUUUUUCACCAUGGCAAUCGAAAGCACAAAGUAAGUUGUAGCAACAAAAAAAUUGGAAUGCCAAGUCAAGUCUUCAUGGCAUAUGUGGCAUGUGCUAUAAGGGAACCUUAUAGGAAAUAAGGUCUUAAAAAACGAUGGUUUAUAGGUUUAGAUAGAAAACAAGGUUUAAUAGAAGCAAAGUUUGUUAUGAAACUUUUGCAUUUAUCAAUA